rnacentral:rRNA from 1 species
UACAGAGGUGGCAAGCGUUGUUCGGAAUUACUGGGCGUAAAGGGCGCGUAGGCGGUUCGUUAAGUCCUGUGUGAAAUCCCCCCGGCUCAACUGGGGAACUGCAUGGGAAACUGCGGAGCUUGAGUCCGGGAGAGGUGAGUGGAAUUCCCGAGUGUAGCGGUGAAAUGCGUAGAUAUUGGGAGGAACACCGGUGGCGAAGGCGGCUCACUCGGAGCCGGUACUGACGGCUGAGACGCGAAAGCCAGGGGAGCAAAGCGGG